GAAGGUAGAGCUCAGUGAUAGAGCGCCUGCUUGGCAUGCCCGAGGUCCUGGGUUCAAUCCCCAGUCCCUCCA
rnacentral:tRNA from 1 species